CUUUUCCCUGAGUCAACAGGGACACUCAAAAUAGGGGAUCCGGACAGCAAGCCCCCUCAAAAGUGAAUCUAACAGGAGGAGGUUCUUGGCAUUCAUGUGCCCUGAAGAUGCCCUGAGCUGUACUCCAUGUGGACCCAAGAUGAUCCUGGUUUACAAGCAAGGACCAGAGGCCCAUGAUGAAGGAACAUCAGCGCUCAGGAGGAUCCGAGUCAGAAGUGGACACAUGGGGGACAUGCCAAGCACAAGUUGUGUCAGGGGAGACAGGGCUUCUCCUCCCUCAGCAGCACCUCCUCACCCAUCCAGAAACUCUACACACCCUGGCAUUGAGGGACUUUGUGGAGAUCUGGUUACAUUUGCAUGAGAGACGGCAGCAGUGACCACUGGUGACUGACUCAACCCCCCUCCUCACCUCUGAAGGGCUGAGCAGACACAGACAGAUGCAAGCUCUGCCCUGCUUAUCAUGAAGCUGGUUUCCUUGGAGAGUCACAUCAACAGAAACUCGGGUGUGGCUGGAAGGGGCUUCUUAGGAGCAACAGAGUGCCCUUGAUGCACACAGUCCUCGAAAACUCCCAGGACUUUAGAAGCUCUGUCAGGGAAUGGAGACUAAAACCAAUCAAUAAUCCCAAUUAUCAUAAAUGUGAC
rnacentral:lncRNA from 1 species